UACUGGUAUAUUAGAUACAGGUAACAAACAUUGACAGGUGUGACAUUAAUUACAGGUAUACUAGAUACAGGUAACAAACAUUGACAGGUGUGACAUUAAUUACAGGUAUAUUAGAUACAGGUAACAAACAUUGACAGGUGUGACAUUAAUUACAGGUAUAUUAGAUACAGGUAACAAACAUUGACAGGUGUGACAUUAAUUACAGGUAUAUACAGGUAUAUUAGAUACAGGUAACAAACAUUGACAGGUGUGACAUUAAUUACAGGUAUAUUAGAUACAGGUAACAAACAUUGACAGGUGUGACAUUAAUUACAGGUAUAUACAGGUAUAUUAGAUACAGGUAACAAACAUUGACAGGUGUGACAUUAAUUACAGGUAUAUACAGGUAUAUUAGAUACAGGUAACAAACAUUGACAGGUGUACCAUUAAUUACAGGUAUAUUAGAUACAGGGUACUUUUGAUGGAAGGUACUUCGUAAAAAUUACAUCAGGACAUACAAUUUUUUUUUCUUUUAUUGAAAAUAUGACUUGCACUUUGGUACAAUAUUGUACAUGUAGGUAUUGCAAGGGUAUUAAAAUGAUACCCACAAGUGAACAAAUGAAUAAAAGGUACAUGUGUAGGGCAAAGCUCAUACAAUUUUGUUUAAGUAUGAAUUUAAAUGAAAGUUCAACGAGACAGAUUUGUCUGAUAAAUAAGAAAGAUACAAUAUAUAACUAUAUAACACAGCUUUUUUUUGUUGUACUUUAAUAACCGUGCCAUUUUCUCCAAGGCCAUGCAGCAUCUUUGUAAUUUAGUAUCCAUUUCAAGCUUUUGUUUCGACCAGCAAGGUCAAUGCAUGCUCGAAUCUAGGGGGGAGAUUUGCAAAGAUAAAAAAAAUUACAAUAUAACGAUU